GACGAACGCUGGCGGCGUGCUUAACACAUGCAAGUCGAGCGGUAAGGCCCGUUUCGGGGGUACACGAGCGGCGAACGGGUGAGUAACACGUGGGUGACCUGCCCUUAGCUCUGGGAUAAGCCUGGGAAACUGGGUCUAAUACCGGAUAUGACUCCAUAACGCAUGUUGUGGGGUGGAAAGCCUUGUGCGGCUAGGGAUGGGGCCCGCGGCCCUAUCAGCUUGUUGGUGGGGUGAUGGCC
rnacentral:rRNA from 1 species